rnacentral:rRNA from 1 species
GACGAACGCUGGCGGCGUGCUUAACACAUGCAAGUCGAACGGAAAGGCCCUGCUUUUGUGGGGUGCUCGAGUGGCGAACGGGUGAGUAACACGUGAGUAACCUGCCCUUGACUUUGGGAUAACUUCAGGAAACUGGGGCUAAUACCGGAUAGGAGCUCCUGCUGCAUGGUGGGGGUUGGAAAGUUUCGGCGGUUGGGGAUGGACUCGCGGCUUAUCAGCUUGUUGGUGGGGUAGUGGCUUACCAAGGCUUUGACGGGUAGCCGGCCUGAGUGGGUGACCGGCCACAUUGGGACUGAGUUCCGGCCCAGACUCCUACGGGAGGCAGCAGUGGGGAAUAUUGCACAUUGGGCGGAAGCCUAAUGCAGCAACGCCGCGUGCGGGAUGACGGCCUUCGGGUUGUAACCCGCUUUCGCCUGUGACGAAGCGUGAGUGACGGUAAUGGGUAAAGAAGCACCGGCUAACUACGUG